rnacentral:rRNA from 1 species
UACGUAGGGUGCAAGCGUUGUCCGGAAUUAUUGGGCGUAAAGAGCUCGUAGGCGGUUUGUCACGUCUGCUGUGAAAAUCCAGGGCUUAACCCUGGACCUGCAGUGGGUACGGGCAGACUGGAGUGCGGUAGGGGAGAUCGGAAUUCCUGGUGUAGCGGUGAAAUGCGCAGAUAUCAGGAGGAACACCGGUGGCGAAGGCGGAUCUCUGGGCCGUAACUGACGCUGAGGAGCGAAAGCAUGGGGAGCGAACAGG